rnacentral:rRNA from 1 species
CCGUAUUAGCUAGUUGGUAAGGUAACGGCUUACCAAGGCAACGAUACGUAGCCGACCUGAGAGGGUGAUCGGCCACACUGGAACUGAGACACGGUCCAGACUCCUACGGGAGGCAGCAGUAGGGAAUCUUCCGCAAUGGGCGAAAGCCUGACGGAGCAACGCCGCGUGAGUGAUGAAGGUCUUCGGAUCGUAAAACUCUGUUAUUAGGGAAGAACAAACGUGUAAGUAACUGUGCACGUCUUGACGGUACCUAAUCAGAAAGCCACGGCUAACUACGUGCCAGCAGCCGCGGUAAUACGUAGGUGGCAAGCGUUAUCCGGAAUUAUUGGGCGUAAAGCGCGCGUAGGCGGUUUUUUAAGUCUGAUGUGAAAGCCCACGGCUCAACCGUGGAGGGUCAUUGGAAACUGGAAAACUUGAGUGCAGAAGAGGAAAGUGGAAUUCCAUGUGUAGCGGUGAAAUGCGCAGAGAUAUGGAGGAACACCAGUGGCGAAGGCGACUUUCUGGUCUGUAACUGACGCUGAUGUGCGAAAGCGUGGGGAUCAAACAGGAUUAGAUACCCUGGUAGUCCACGCCGUAAACGAUGAGUGCUAAGUGUUAGGGGGUUUCCGCCCCUUAGUGCUGCAGCUAACGCAUUAAGCACUCCGCCUGGGGAGUA